rnacentral:rRNA from 1 species
AGAGUUUGAUCAUGGCUCAGGAUGAACGCUGGCGGCGUGCUUAACACAUGCAAGUCGAACGGGGUUAUUUUUAGGAAGUUUUCGGAUGGAAUAGAGAUAAUCUAGUGGCGGACGGGUGAGUAACGCGUGAACAAUCUGCCUUGAAGAGGGGGAUAACACUUAGAAAUAGGUGCUAAUACCGCAUAAGACCACAGAGCCGCAUGGCUUAGGGGUAAAAGGAGCAAUCCACUUUAAGAGGAGUUUGCGUAUCAUUAGGUAGUUGGUAGGGUAACGGCCUACCAAGCCGACGAUGGUUAGCCGACCUGAGAGGGUGAUCGGCCACACUGGAACUGAGAUACGGUCCAGACUCCUACGGGAGGCAGCAGUGGGGAAUAUUGGGCAAUGGAGGAAACUCUGACCCAGCAACGCCGCGUGAAGGAAGAAGGUCUUCGGAUUGUAAACUUCUGUUAUAGGGGAAAAAACAAAUGAUGGUACCCUAUGAGAAAGCUACGGCAAACUAUGUGCCAGCAGCCGCGGUAAUACAUAGGUAGCAAGCGUUAUCCGGAAUAACUGGGCGUAAAGGGAGUGUAGGUGGUGAGAUAAGUCAUAUGUGAAAGCCCUCGGCUUAACUGAGGAAUUGCAUGUGAUACUGUUUUACUAGAGUGUGAGAGAGGUAAGCGGAAUUCCUAGUGUAGCGGUAGAAUGCGUAGAGAUUAGGAGGAACACCAGAGGCGAAGGCGGCUUACUGGCUCAUAACUGACACUGAGGCUCGAAAGCGUGGGGAGCAAACAGGAUUAGAUACCCUGGUAGUCCACGCUGUAAACGAUGGAUACUAGAUGC